rnacentral:rRNA from 1 species
UACGGGGGGAGCAAGCGUUGUCCGGAUUUAUUGGGCGUAAAGAGCGUGUAGGCGGCCAGGUAGGUCGGUUGUGAAAACUCGAGGCUCAACCUCGAGAUGUCGACCGAAACCAUCUGGCUAGAGUCCGGAAGAGGAGAAUGGAAUUCCCGGUGUAGCGGUGAAAUGCGCAGAUAUCGGGAAGAACACCCGUGGCGAAGGCGGUUCUCUGGGACGGUACUGACGCUGAGACGCGAAAGCGUGGGGAGCGAACAGG